rnacentral:rRNA from 1 species
UAUACAUGCAUGUCGAGCGGAGUUCUUCGGAACUUAGCGGCGAAUGGGUGAGUAACACGUACUUAACGUACCUCUUAGAUUGGGAUAACGCUGAGAAAUUAGCGCUAAUACCGGAUACUUAUAAGGAAGGCAUCUUCCUUAUAUAAAAGGAGCUCUCAAGCUCCACUAGGAGAUCGGGGUGCGGAACAUUAGCUAGUUGGUAAGGUAAUGGCUUACCAAGGCUAUGAUGUUUAACGGGGUUGAGAGACUGAUCCGUCACACUGGGACUGAGAUACGGCCCAGACUCCUACGGGAGGCAGCAGUAGGGAAUUUUCCACAAUGGGCGAAAGCCUGAUGGAGCGACACAGCGUGCAGGAUGAAGGCCUUCGGGUUGUAAACUGCUGUUAUUUAGGAUGAAAAAAUAGUAGAGGAAAUGCUAUUAUCUUGACAGUACUAAAUCAGAAAGCAACGGCUAACUAUGUGCCAGCAGCCGCGGUAAUACAUAGGUUGCAAGCGUUAUCCGGAAUUAUUGGGCGUAAAGCGUCUGUAGGUUGUUAGUUAAGUCUGGCGUCAAAACUUGGGGCUCAACCCCAAAUCGCGUUGGAUACUGGCUAACUAGAAUUGUGUAGAGGUUAACGGAAUUCCUUGUGAAGCGGUGAAAUGCGUAGAUAUAAGGAAGAACAUCAACUUGGCGAAGGCAGUUAACUGGGCACAUAUUGACACUGAGAGACGAAAGCGUGGGGAGCAAACAGGAUUAGAUACCCUGGUAGUCCACGCCGUAAACGAUGAUGAUUAGCUGAUGGGAACCAUCGGCGCAGCUAACGCAUUAAAUCAUCCGCCUGAGUAGUAUGCUCGCAAGAGUGAAACUUAAAGGAAUUGACGGGGAUCCGCACAAGCGGUGGAGCAUGUGGUUUAAUUUGAAGAUACGCGUAGAACCUUACCCACUCUUGACAUCUUCUGCGAAGCUAUAGAGAUAUAGUGGAGGUUAACAGAAUGACAGAUGGUGCAUGGUUGUCGUCAGCUCGUGUCGUGAGAUGUUCGGUUAAGUCCUGCAACGAGCGCAACCCUUAUCCUUAAUUAAAUUUCUUAAGGAGACUGCCCGGGUAACUGGGAGGAAGGUGGGGACGACGUCAAAUCAUCAUGCCUCUUACGAGUGGGGCAACACACGUGCUACAAUGGAAGGUACAAAGAGAAGCAAUAUGGCGACAUGGAGCAAAUCUCAAAAAACCUUUCUCAGUUCGGAUUGUAGUCUGCAACUCGACUACAUGAAGUCGGAAUCGCUAGUAAUCGUAGAUCAGCUACGCUACGGUGAAUACGUUCUCGGGUCUUGUACACACCGCCCGUCACACCAUGGGAGCUGGUAAUGCCCGAAGUCGGUUUAGUCAACUACGGAGACAACUGCCUAAGGCAGA